UAGAGUUGUAAAACUCCCAACCCAUGUGAACAUACCUCUGUUGCCUCGGUGGCCUACCCGGUAGUUACCCUGUAGCUACCCUGUAGUCCGCCGAAGGACCAUUAAACUCUUGUUUUUAUAUAUCUCUGAGAAAACUUUUAAAUAAGUCA
rnacentral:misc_RNA from 1 species